rnacentral:lncRNA from 1 species
CUUAGCCACUUUUCUACGAUACUUGUUCGACAUGUCUACCACAAAGCGAACAAUGCUACGAAUUGGAUAGCAUCGUUUGUUGCUGAUCAUUUCAAAAAUUGGUCAUGGUGUCACGAAAGUGUGUGCCUAUGGGUACUUCGCGAUAUUUUAUAUUCUGACUUUCUAGACUGUACUCAUACCAGACUGAUAUGAUCGCCCAUUUGUAUCAAAAAAAAAAGAAGAGAUAUAGGAGGGAGAGAAGAGGAAGAGGAAGAGGAAAGGGUGAGGGAG